rnacentral:rRNA from 1 species
UACAGAGGGUGCAAGCGUUAUUCGGAAUUACUGGGCGUAAAGGGCGCGUAGGCGGCAUGGUAAGUCUGAUGUGAAAUCCCUGGUGUCAAAUCAGGAAAGUCAUUGGAUACUGCUGUGCUGGAGUGCAGGAGAGGAGAGCGGAAUUCCUGGUGUAGAGGUGAAAUUCGUAGAUAUCAGGAGGAACACCAGUGGCGAAGGCGGCUCUCUGGACUGUGUCGAAGGCUUAAAAACCGACGAUUUAAAACUGACGCUG